rnacentral:rRNA from 1 species
CAUCAGACGUAAUCUGCCGCAAAAGUGUUGCGGUUUCCGCAAGAUUGGAUACCUUGGCGAAACGCCAAGCUAAUACAUGAACAAGAGGUUGCCUCCACUCCAUGCCCGGGUCAAACCGGGCAGCGAGGCGCCUUGCGAAUGAAUGAAACUAGGACCAAUGCCCUUCACGGGGCAGCAACACAAGCAGUGUUGAACCAAUUCAUUCCGUGCGAAAGCCGGUUUACCGGCGUCUUUCGACGAACAACUGCCCUAUCAGCCAGUGAUGGCCGUGUAGUGGACUGCCAUGGCGUUGACGGGAGCGGGGGAUUAGGGUUCGAUUCCGGAGAGGGAGCCUGAGAAAUGGCUACCACUUCUACGGAGAGCAGCAGGCGCGCAAAUUGCCCAAUGCCAAAGCAAAUGGUGAGGCAGCGAAAAGAAAUAGGUCUCCCAAACGUCGUUCGGCGUUUGGGAGUUUGCAAUGGGGGAUAUCUAAACCCAUCCAAUAUCGAGUAACGAUUGGAGGACAAGUCUGGUGCCAGCACCCGCGGUAAUUCCAGCUCCAAAAGCGUAUAUUAACGCUGUUGCUGUUAAAGGGUUCGUAGUUGAACUGUGGGCUGCCAAGAUCGCCGAUGCCGUCC